rnacentral:rRNA from 1 species
GGGGGAUAUUGCACAAUGGGGGAAACCCUGAUGCAGCGACGCCGCGUGGAGGAAGAAGGUUUUCGGAUUGUAAACUCCUGUCGUUAGGGACGAUAAUGACGGUACCUAACAAGAAAGCACCGGCUAACUACGUGCCAGCAGCCGCGGUAAAACGUAGGGUGCAAGCGUUGUCCGGAAUUACUGGGUGUAAAGGGAGCGCAGGCGGGAAGACAAGUUGGAAGUGAAAACCAUGGGCUCAACCCAUGAAUUGCUUUCAAAACUGUUUUUCUUGAGUAGUGCAGAGGUAGAUGGAAUUCCCGGUGUAGCGGUGGAAUGCGUAGAUAUCGGGAGGAACACCAGUGGCGAAGGCGGUCUACUGGGCACCAACUGACGCUGAGGCUCGAAAGCAUGGGUAGCAAACAGGAUUAGAUACCCUGGUAGUCCAUGCCGUAAACGAUGAUUACUAGGUGUUGGGGGAUUGACCCCCUCAGUGCCGCAGUUAACACAAUAAGUAAUCCACCUGGGGAGUACGACCGCAAGGUUGAAACUCAAAGGAAUUGACGGGGGCCCGCACAAGCAGUGGAGUAUGUGGUUUAAUUCGAAGCAACGCGAAGAACCUUACCAGGUCUUGACAUCCGAUGCAUAACACAGAGAUGUGUGAAAUCCUUCGGGACAUCGAGACAGGUGGUGCAUGGUUGUCGUCAGCUCGUGUCGUGAGAUGUUGGGUUAAGUCCCGCAACGAGCGCAACCCUUAUUGCCAGUUACUACGUUAAGAGGACUCUGGCGAGACUGCCGUUGACAAAACGGAGGAAGGUGGGGAUGACGUCAAAUCAUCAUGCCCUUUAUGACCUGGGCUACACACGUACUACAAUGGCGUUAAACAAAGAGAAGCAAGACCGCGAGGUGGAGCAAAACUCAAAAACAACGUCUCAGUUCAGAUUGCAGGCUGCAACUCGCCUGCAUGAAGUCGGAAUUGCUAGUAAUCGCGGAUCAGCAUGCCGCGGUGAAUACGUUCCCG